rnacentral:rRNA from 1 species
ACUCCUACGGGAGGCAGCAGUGGGGAAUUUUGGACAAUGGGCGCAAGCCUGAUCCAGCAAUGCCGCGUGCAGGAAGAAGGCCUUCGGGUUGUAAACUGCUUUUGUACGGAACGAAACGGUCCUGGUUAAUACCUGGGGCUAAUGACGGUACCGUAAGAAUAAGCACCGGCUAACUACGUGCAGCAGCCGCGGUAAUA